GAAGGUAUCGCUCAGCGGUGGAGUGCAUGCUUAGCAUGCAUAAGGUCCUUGGUUCAAUCCCCAGUACUUCCA
rnacentral:tRNA from 1 species